ACGCUAGCUACAGGCUUAACACAUGCAAGUCGAGGGGCAGCAUUUUAGUUUGCUUGCAAACUGAAGAUGGCGACCGGCGCACGGGUGAGUAACACGUAUCCAACCUGCCGAUAACUCCGGAAUAGCCUUUCGAAAGAAAGAUUAAUACCGGAUAGCAUACGAAUAUCGCAUGAUAUUUUUAUUAAAGAAUUUCGGUUAUCGAUGGGGAUGCGUUCCAUUAGUUUGUUGGCGGGGUAACGGCCCACCAAGACUACGAUGGAUAGGGGUUCUGAGAGGAAGGUCCCCCACAUUGGAACUGAGACACGGUCCAAACUCCUACGGGAGGCAGCAGUGAGGAAUAUUGGUCAAUGGGCGAGAGCCUGAACCAGCCAAGUAGCGUGAAGGAUGAAGGCUCUAUGGGUCGUAAACUUCUUUUAUAUGGGAAUAAAGUUUUCCACGUGUGGAAUUUUGUAUGUACCAUAUGAAUAAGGAUCGGCUAACUCCGUGCCAGCAGCCGCGGUAAUACGGAGGAUCCGAGCGUUAUCCGGAUUUAUUGGGUUUAAAGGGAGCGUAGGUGGAUUGUUAAGUCAGUUGUGAAAGUUUGCGGCUCAACCGUAAAAUUGCAGUUGAAACUGGCAGUCUUGAGUACAGUAGAGGUGGGCGGAAUUCGUGGUGUAGCGGUGAAAUGCUUAGAUAUCACGAAGAACUCCGAUUGCGAAGGCAGCUCACUAGACUGUCACUGACACUGAUGCUCGAAAGUGUGGGUAUCAAACAGGAUUAGAUACCCUGGUAGUCCACACAGUAAACGAUGAAUACUCGCUGUUUGCGAUAUACAGUAAGCGGCCAAGCGAAAGCAUUAAGUAUUCCACCUGGGGAGUACGCCGGCAACGGUGAAACUCAAAGGAAUUGACGGGGGCCCGCACAAGCGGAGGAACAUGUGGUUUAAUUCGAUGAUACGCGAGGAACCUUACCCGGGCUUAAAUUGCAACAGAAUAUAUUGGAAACAGUAUAGCCGUAAGGCUGUUGUGAAGGUGCUGCAUGGUUGUCGUCAGCUCGUGCCGUGAGGUGUCGGCUUAAGUGCCAUAACGAGCGCAACCCUUAUCUUUAGUUACUAACAGGUCAUGCUGAGGACUCUAGAGAGACUGCCGUCGUAAGAUGUGAGGAAGGUGGGGAUGACGUCAAAUCAGCACGGCCCUUACGUCCGGGGCUACACACGUGUUACAAUGGGGGGUACAGAAGGCGGCUACCUGGUGACAGGAUGCUAAUCCCAAAAACCUCUCUCAGUUCGGAUCGAAGUCUGCAACCCGACUUCGUGAAGCUGGAUUCGCUAGUAAUCGCGCAUCAGCCAUGGCGCGGUGAAUACGUUCCCGGGCCUUGUACACACCGCCCGUCAAGCCAUGAAAGCCGGGGGUACCUGAAGUACGUAACCGCAAGGAGCGUCCUAGGGUAAAACUGGUAAAAG
rnacentral:rRNA from 1 species